ACUCUAGCAAUCUUAUGCCAAAUAUGAUUUACAUAUUUGUGUUAGAUACAGCUGAUCUACUAAUUAAACUCUAGCAAUCUUAUGCCAAAUAUGAUCUACAUAUUUGUGCUAAAUGCAUUUGCGAAUACCUUAUAAACAAGAUUUGGUGAGAAGAAAAUGUUAGACCAUGAGCAUUAGGGGUUUUAGUGAGGUUCAUGGGCUCGAGUUCUAAGGGGUCGAUGAAUAAAAGAAAAUAAAAAAUGGGUUCGUUUUGAUGAACCGGGCCUUGCGAGUGAUACCGUAUGAAGCGGGUUCAAGCCACGCGUCGGGUGUUGAUUUGCUGAACGAAAGCGCGUAGAGGAGGAGGAAAGUUGGGGUUCGACGUGUAUCGCCUCAUUUGUUCUUCUCCACCAAAAAGCUAGGGUUUUUUUGUGAGAGGCGAUAUUUCGU
rnacentral:lncRNA from 1 species